AUACAAUAGUUAAUUAAAAUGUGUAAAAUAUAUCAUAUAUGCUUUAUCAUUGGGCUUUUUUUAAAAAUAAAAAAAAAUAUCUGUAUUAAAUUUUUAUUAAUUAAAUUAUUUAUUAUCAUUAUUAUUAUUAUCAUUAUUAUUAUUAUUAUUAUUAUUAUUAUUAUUAUUAUUAUUAUUAUNNNNNNNNNNAUUAUUAUUAUUAUUAUUAUUAUUAUUAUUAUUAUUAUUAUUAUUAUAUAUCUAUUAAUUUAUUUCUAAAACACAAUUUAUAAAAAUACUAAAUGUAUAUCAAACUAUUUUUNNNNNNNNNNGCUUCCUCAGCUUCUUCUUCUAUUACUUCCUCUUUUGCUUCCUCAACUUCUUCUUCCAAUACUUCCUCCUCUUCUUCCUUACUAACACCUUCCAAUAUUUCUUCUACUGCUUCCUCAGAAACACCUUCCAACAUUUCCUCUUCUGCCUCUUCAACAUCUGAUUCUGAUACUUCCUCUUCUAUUUCCUCAGAAACACCUGAUAAUACAUCCUCUUUUUCUUCCUUACUAACACCUUCCAAUAUUUCUUCUACUGCUUCCUCAGAAACACCUUCCAACAUUUCCUCUACUGCUUCCUCAAAAACACCUUCCAACAUUUCCUCUUCUGCCUCUUCAACACCUGAUUCUGAUACUUCCUCUACUGCUUCCUCAGAAACACCUGAUAAUACUUCCUCUUCUUCUUCCUCACUAACACCUUCCAAUAUUUCCUCUUCUAUUUCCUCAGAAACACCUGAUAAUACUUCCUCUUCUAUUUCCUCAGAAACACCUGCUAAUACUUCCUCUUCUGCUUCCUCCGCAACACCUUCCAAUAUUUUCUCUACUGCUUCCUCAGAAACACCUGAUAAUAUUUCCUCUUCUGCUUCCUCAACAACAUCCUCCAAUACUUCUUCACCUGCCUCUUCAACAUCUGAUUCUAACACUUCUUCAACUACAUCUUCAACAUCUGACUCGAAUACUUUAUCUGCUUCCUCAAAAUAUGAUUUUAAUAUGUUAUCUGCCUCUUCAAUAUCUGAUUCUAACACUUCUUCAACUGCCUUUUCCAUAACUGAUUCUGAUACUUUAUCUGCCUCUUCAACAUCUGAUUCUGCUUCUUUAUAUACUGUUUCCACAUCUAAUUCUGAUACUUUAUCUGCCUCUUCAACAUCUGAUUCUGGUUCUU
rnacentral:lncRNA from 1 species